AACGAACGCUAUCGGUAUGCUUAACACAUGCAAGUCGAACGGACUAAUUGGGGCUUGCUCCAAUUAGUUAGUGGCAGACGGGUGAGUAACACGUGGGAAUCUACCCAUCAGUACGGAAUAACUUUUAGAAAUAAAAGCUAAUACCGUAUAUUCUCUACGGAAGAAAGAUUUAUCGCUGAUGGAUGAGCCCGCGUCAGAUUAGGUAGUUGGUGAGGUAACGGCUCACCAAGCCGACGAUCUGUAGCUGGUCUGAGAGGAUGAUCAGCCACACUGGGACUGAGACACGGCCCAGACUCCUACGGGAGGCAGCAGUGGGGAAUAUUGGACAAUGGGCGAAAGCCUGAUCCAGCAAUACCGAGUGAGUGAUGAAGGCCUUAGGGUUGUAAAGCUCUUUUAGCAAGGAAGAUAAUGACGUUACUUGCAGAAAAAGCCCGGCUAACUCCGUGCCAGCCGCCGCCGUAAC
rnacentral:rRNA from 1 species